rnacentral:rRNA from 1 species
GACGAACGCUGGCGGCGUGCUUAACACAUGCAAGUCGAACGGACAGGCCCUGCUUUUGUGGGGUGCUCGAGUGGCGAACGGGUGAGUAACACGUGAGUAACCUGCCCUUGACUUUGGGAUAACUUCAGGAAACUGGGGCUAAUACCGGAUAGGAGCUCCUGCUGCAUGGUGGGGGUUGGAAAGUUUCGGCGGUUGGGGAUGGACUCGCGGCUUAUCAGCUUGUUGGUGGGGUAGUGGCUUACCAAGGCUUUGACGGGUAGCCGGCCUGAGAGGGUGACCGGCCACAUUGGGACUGAGAGACGGCCCAGACUCCUACGGGAGGCAGCAGGGGGGAAUAUUGCACAAUGGGCGGAAGCGUGAUGCAGCAACGCCGCGUGCGGGAUGACGGCCUUCGGGUUGUAAACCGCUUUCGCCUGUGACGAAGCGUGAGUGACGGUAAUGGGUAAAGAAGCACCGGCUAACUACGUG